AUAGCUGGUUCUCCCCGAAAGCUAUUUAGGUAGCGCCUCGUGAAUUCAUCUCCGGGGGUAGAGCACUGUUUCGGCAAGGGGGUCAUCCCGACUUACCAACCCGAUGCAAACUGCGAAUACCGGAGAAUGUUAUCACGGGAGACACACGGCGGGUGCUAACGUCCGUCGUGAAGAGGGAAACAACCCAGACCGCCAGCUAAGGUCCCAAAGUCAUGGUUAAGUGGGAAACGAUGUGGGAAGGCCCAGACAGCCAGGAUGUUGGCUUAGAAGCAGCCAUCAUUUAAAGAAAGCGUAAUAGCUCACUGGUCGAGUCGGCCUGCGCGGAAGAUGUAACGGGGCUAAACCAUGCACCGAAGCUGCGGCAGCGACACUAUGUGUUGUUGGGUAGGGGAGCG
rnacentral:rRNA from 1 species